rnacentral:rRNA from 1 species
CCUACGGGAGGCAGCAGUGAGGAAUAUUGGUCAAUGGGCGCACGCCUGAACCAGCCAAGUCGCGUGAGGGAUGACGGCCCUAUGGAUUGUAAACCUCUUUUGUCGGGGAGCAAGGCCCGCCACGUGUGGCGGGAAGGAGAGUACCCGAAGAAAAAGCAUCGGCUAACUCCGUGCCAGCAGCCGCGGUAAUACGGAGGAUGCGAGCGUUAUCCGGAUUUAUUGGGUUUAAAGGGUGCGUAGGCGGAAGGUUAAGUCAGCGGUCAAAUGGCGGGGCUCAACCCCGGCCUGCCGUUGAAACUGGUCGUCUUGAGUGAGCGAGAAGUAUGCGGAAUGCGUGGUGUAGCGGUGAAAUGCAUAGAGAUCACGCAGAACUCCGAUUGCGAAGGCAGCAUACCGGCGCUCAACUGACGCUGAGGCACGAAAGCGUGGGGAUCGAACAGGAUUAGAUACCCCUGUAGUC